GGCAGUGUAGCUUAGUGGCAAGGAGUAGGGCUCAUAACCGAAAGGUUUUGGGUUCAAUUCCCCACUGGGGCA